GACGAACGCUGGCGGCGUGCCUAAUACAUGCAAGUUGAGCGCUGAAGGUUGGUACUUGUACCAACUGGAUGAGCAGCGAACGGGUGAGUAACGCGUGGGGAAUCUGCCUUUGAGCGGGGGACAACAUUUGGAAACGAAUGCUAAUACCGCAUAAAAACUUUAAACACAAGUUUUAAGUUUGAAAGAUGCAAUUGCAUCACUCAAAGAUGAUCCCGCGUUGUAUUAGCUAGUUGGUGAGGUAAAGGCUCACCAAGGCGAUGAUACAUAGCCGACCUGAGAGGGGGAUCGGCCAAAUUGGGACUGAGACAAGGCCCAAACUCCUACGGGAGGCAGCAGUAGGGAAUCUUCGGCAAUGGACGAAAGUCUGACCGAGCAACGCCGAGUGAGUGAAGAAGGGUUUCGGAUCGUAAAACUCUGUUGGUAGAGAAGAACGUUGGUGAGAGUGGAAAGCUCAUCAAGUGACGGUAACUACACAGAAAGGGACGGCUAACUACGUG
rnacentral:rRNA from 1 species